rnacentral:rRNA from 1 species
AGUGAACGCUGGCGGUGGCCUAACACCUGCCAGUCGAACGGCAGCACAGUAAGCGCUUGCUCUUACGGGUGGCGAGUGGCGGACGGGUGAGGAAUACAUCGGAAUCUACUUUUUCGUGGGGGAUAACGUAGGGAAACUUACGCUAAUACCGCAUACGACCUACGGGUGAAAGCAGGGGAUCUUCGGACCUUGCGCGAUUGAAUGAGCCGAUGUCGGAUUAGCUAGUUGGCGGGGUAAAGGCCCACCAAGGCGACGAUCCGUAGCUGGUCUGAGAGGAUGAUCAGCCACACUGGAACUGAGACACGGUCCAGACUCCUACGGGAGGCAGCAGUGGGGAAUAUUGGACAAUGGGCGCAAGCCUGAUCCAGCCAUACCGCGUGGGUGAAGAAGGCCUUCGGGUUGUAAAGCCCUCUUGUUGGGAAAGAAAAGCAGCAGGUUAAGACCCCGCUGUUCUGACGGUACCCAAAGAAUAAGCACCGGCUAACUUCGU